rnacentral:lncRNA from 1 species
CACGCCAGGCUAUGAAUGGGAGCAGAGAGUUCUCCGUCUGCCAAGCCACACUGCAGCAACUCGUUUGCAGAGAACCGAGCACCUUGCUGCUGGUGUGACCAGUUUCAGGUCACAGCAAGUGCUGACAAAGCUCCUGCCAAGCCACAGGAGGCUGAUACAGGCGAAGAGGAGCAGUCCCCAUCAGGAGGGAGGCUGAGGAGAGGAUGCCCAGGGUAGAGGCUUCCUGGGUCCUCCAGGACCAGGACCUGGGUGCCCUUUGUGCUGCCAGAUGGAUCUGCUGUGGGAGGAAGGAUGUGUGGAGUUUCUCUUCAGUGACAAUCAGCAGUGCCGAGGGUCUGACCUGAUGCUUUCACUCCCAUCCAUCAGGUUUUUGUUUCCCUGGUGGUUUGUGUCCACCUUUCACGUUUUGUAGGGGCAAGAGCAGCAUCAGAAAGCGCAGAUCAGGCUCCUGAGAAAGAUGAGCUUUGUGCACUGUUGUUUUCCAUGCUCCAGGAUGCUCCUCCUAUGAAACCUAGGAGUAGAAGCCAGGUUUUGUCAAUAUGACACAGGAGUAGAGCAACUGAAGGGUAUUUAUUUGCCUUUGGUCCCCUCUCCCCACCUUUCUUGAUACCUCACCAAGGGAUGCAGAGGCUUUUUUCUGCUCCAUCACCCAACCAGCCAGGACUUUGAGACCAUGCCCAGGCAAGGCCAGCCUGGAGGAGGGUGGGUGCUGCCCAGGGCAGGGUGGGUGGUGCCCAGCGUGAUGAGUGGAUGGAGUGGAUGGAGUGAGUGGGUCCCUCCUUUCUUGUUGCUCCUGAGCAUUUCUCAGGUGGGGAUUAGGCCGUGCUCUCCUGGCACAAGCAGGAGCAGCGCAGCAAUGCCCAGCUGUUGUUUUCCCCUGCCCCACUUGUUUCUCCUGAAAGCUCGAUAUCGAUGCCAAGCGGUGUUUUCGCAAAUCAAUGACAGGCUGUCAGCGUCAGGUGCCUCCUGCGCAAGUAUCUAAAAGGAAUUUCCCAUGUCCCAGCUUGUUCCCGUUGCCUCUCCUCUCCCCAUGCACCUCAGAAAGUGUGACUCCACCUUCACAGAAUCCCAGAAUGGAUUGAUUGACUUGGAAGUGACCUCAAAUCUCAUCUUGUUCCACCACCUUCCACUAUCCCAUAUUGCUCCAGGCCCUGUCCAACCUGGCCUUAGCCUGGGAUAGGG